GAUGAACGCUGGCGGCGUGCUUAGCACAUGCAAGUCGAACGAAGCGUCCCGCCCGAUGAAAUGGAGAGCUUGCUCAAAGUAGAAUCAAUUGGGAUGACUUAGUGGCGGACGGGUGAGUAACGCGUGGGUAACCUGCCUUACACAGGGGGACAACAGUUGGAAACGACUGCUAAUACCGCAUAAGCGCACGGUAUCGCAUGAUAUAGUGUGAAAAGAUUUAUCGGUGUAAGAUGGACCCGCGUCUGAUUAGAUAGUUGGUGAGGUAACGGCUCACCAAGCCCGCGAUCAGUAGGGGUUCUGAGAGGAAGGUCCCCCACAUUGGAACUGAGACACGGUCCAAACUCC
rnacentral:rRNA from 1 species